CGUCACACGAGAUGAGAUGUUAAACAUCGUAGAUGCCAUAUAUCUGAUGGUGGGGAACACUGUAGAGUUACCAGAAGAAGAGAAUACACCUGAGAAGAGAGUGGACCGUAUUUUUUCCAUGAUGGACAAGAAUGCUGAUGGCAAGUUGACCCUGCAGGAGUUUCAGGAGGGUUCCAAGGCAGACCCCUCCAUUGUGCAGGCACUGUCACUAUACGAUGGGCUUGUAUAGGGCUUAAAGUGUUUAAAGAUUCCCAGAUUCCCAUCACACCUGCUAUGAGAAAAAAGCAUCUACAAGCAUCAACAUCCCUCCAUGCACCAUCCAGAAGGAGACAUG